rnacentral:rRNA from 1 species
AGACAACCAGGAUGUUGGCUUAGAAGCAGCCACACAUUCAAAGAGUGCGUAAUAGCUCACUGGUCGAGUGAUCCAGCGCCGAAAAUGUAACGGGGCUAAAACGCGACACCGAAGCAGCGGGAUGCGUAAGCAUCGGUAGAGGAGCAUUGUGUGAGGGUAGAAGCCAGAGCGGGAGCACUGGUGGACUUCACAGAAGAGAGAAUGCCGGUAUGAGUAGCGAGACCCAUGCGAGAAACAUGGGCGUCGAAGGCCCAAGGUUUCCUGGGGAAGGUUCAUCCACCCAGGGUAAGUCGGGACCUAAGCCGAGGACUGAGGUCGUAGGCGAUGGACAGCAGGUAGAGAUUCCUGCACCACUUACACUUGUUUGACGAAGCAGUGACACAGAAGGAUAGGACGGGCGCGGUGAUGGUCAACCGCGUAGGCAGCACGAGGCUGGGGAGCAGUUAAGUACACUUCCCAUGAAGGCUGAGUGUUGACAGGACCGAAAAAGAGUAGGGAAGCGUCUGAGUUCACGCUGGCGAGAAAAGCUGCUAAGGAGAGUGUGAGUGCCCGUACCGGAAACCGACGCAGGUGGGCGAGGAGAGAAUCCUGAGACGGACGGGAGAACUCUUGUUAAGGAACUCGGCAAAAUGACCCCGUAACUUCGGGAGAAGGGGUGCCUCGAAAGAGGCCGCAGAGAAUAGUCACAAGCGACUGUUUAGCAAAAACACAGGUAUCUGCGAAAGCGAGAGCUGACGUAUAGGUGCUGACGCCUGCCCGGUGCUGGAAGGUUAAGGGGAAGUGUUAGGGGAAACCCGAAGCAGAGAACCGAAGCCCCAGUAAACGGCGGCCGUAACUAUAACGGUCCUAAGGUAGCGAAAUUCCUUGUCGGGUAAGUUCCGACCCGCACGAAUGGCGUAACGACUUGUGAGCUGUCUCAACAGGAGGCCCGGUGAAAUUGAAGUAUGUGUGAAGAUGCACAUUACCCGCGACUGGACGGAAAGACCCCGUAGAGCUUUACUGUAACCUGACAUUGGAUCUUGAUAACGGAUGCACAGGAUAGGUGGGACGCAGAGAGACGAGGACUUCGGUUUUCGUGGAGCGGCCGUUGGGAUACCACUCUUCUGUUAUUGAGAUUCUAACCUCAAGCCGUAAGCCGGAUGAGAGACAGUGUCAGGCGGACAGUUUGACUGGGGCGGUCGCCUCCGAAAGAGUAACGGAGGCGCCCAAAGGUUCCCUCAGCGCGGCCGGAAAUCGCGCGAAGAGUGUAAAGGCAGAAGGGAGCUUGACUGCGAGUCAAACACGACGAGCAGGUACGAAAGUAGGGCUUAGUGAUCCGGUGGUACCGAGUGGAAGGGCCAUCGCUCAACGGAUAAAAGCUACCCUGGGGAUAACAGGCUAAUCUCUCCCAAGAGUCCAUAUCGACGGGGAGGUUUGGCACCUCGAUGUCGGCUCAUCACAUCCUGGGGCUGAAGUCGGUCCCAAGGGUUGGGCUGUUCGCCCAUUAAAGUGGUACGUGAGCUGGGUUCAGAACGUCGUGAGACAGUUCGGUCCCUAUCCAUCGCGGGCGCAAGAGAUUUGAAGGGGGCUGCUCCUAGUACGAGAGGACCGGAGUGGACGAACCGCUGGUGUACCAAUUAUCCCGCCAGGGGUACAGUUGGGUAGCUACGUUCGGAAAGGAUAAACGCUGAAAGCAUCUAAGCGUGAAACCAGCCUUAAGAUGAGAUCUCUCAUAGAGCAAUCUAGU